GACUUUUCGAAUCCGUGCUGAGAUUUCGUCAGACACCAACUCAUUAGGGUUGAUCAAACUUACAAGAUAAAUGAAGUU
rnacentral:pre_miRNA from 1 species